UAUUACCGCGGCUGCUGGCACGUAGUUAGCCGGUCCUUAUUCUUCCGGUACCGUCAUCGACCCCAGGUAUUAACCAGAGCCAUUUCUUUCCGGACAAAAGUGCUUUACAACCCGAAGGCCUUCUUCACACACGCGGCAUUGCUGGAUCAGGCUUUCGCCCAUUGUCCAAAAUUCCCCACUGCUGCCUCCCGUAGGAGUCUGGGCCGUGUCUCAGUCCCAGUGUGGCUGAUCGUCCUCUCAGACCAGCUACUGAUCGUCGCCUUGGUGGGCCUUUACCCCACCAACUAGCUAAUCAGACAUCGGCCGCUCCUAUAGCAUGAGGCCUUGCGGUCCCCCACUUUCACCCUCAGGUCGUAUGCGGUAUUAGCUAAUCUUUCGACUAGUUAUCCCCCACUACAGGGCACGUUCCGAUGUAUUACUCACCCGUUCGCCACUCGCCAUCAAUCUAGCAAGCUAGAUCAUGCUGCCGUUCGACUUGCAUGUGUAAGGCAUGCCGCCAGCGUUCAAUCUGAGCCAUAAUCAAACUCU
rnacentral:rRNA from 1 species